rnacentral:rRNA from 1 species
AGCGAACGCUGGCGGCAGGCUUAACACAUGCAAGUCGAGCGGGCAUAGCAAUAUGUCAGCGGCAGACGGGUGAGUAACGCGUGGGAACGUACCUUUUGGUUCGGAACAACACAGGGAAACUUGUGCUAAUACCGGAUAAGCCCUUACGGGGAAAGAUUUAUCGCCGAAAGAUCGGCCCGCGUCUGAUUAGCUAGUUGGUGAGGUAAUGGCUCACCAAGGCGACAAUCAGUAGCUGGUCUGAGAGGAUGAUCAGCCACAUUGGGACUGAGACACGGCCCAAACUCCUACGGGAGGCAGCAGUGGGGAAUAUUGGACAAUGGGCGCAAGCCUGAUCCAGCCAUGCCGCGUGAGUGAUGAAGGCCCUAGGGUUGUAAAGCUCUUUUGUGCGGGAAGAUAAUGACGGUACCGCAAGAAUAAGCCCCGGCUAACUUCGUGCCAGCCGCCGCUGUAACAC